AACAAACGCUGGCGGCGUGCCUAAUACAUGCAAGUCGAACGGGGAAAGCUUUCGGGUGAGUACUAGUGGCGCACGGGUGAGUAACGCGUGGAUAAUCUGCCUUAGAGUGGGGGAUAACUAGUCGAAAGAUUAGCUAAUACCGCAUAAGACCACAAGAACUGCGGUUCAAGAGGUCAAAGGUCUUUCGCUCUAAGAUGAGUCCGCGUAAGAUUAGCUAGUUGGUGAGGUAACGGCUCACCAAGGCAACGAUCUUUAACUGGUCUGAGAGGAUGAUCGGUCACACUGGAACUGAGACACGGUCCAGACUCCUACGGGAGGCAGCAGUAGGGAAUAUUGCACAAUGGAGGAAACUCUGAUGCAGCGACGCCGCGUGAGUGAUGAAGGCCUUCGGGUCGUAAAGCUCUGUCGCAGGGGAAUAACACAAUGAAUGUACCCUGUAAGAAAGGAUCGGCUAACUUCGUGCCAGCAGCCGCAGUAAAAC
rnacentral:rRNA from 1 species